CUCAGGAUGAACGCUAGCGGCAGGCUUAACACAUGCAAGUCGAGGGGCAGCGGGGAGGAAGCUUGCUUUCUCCGCCGGCGACCGGCGCACGGGUGAGUAACACGUAUGCAACCUGCCCCUGUCAGGGGGACAACCCGCCGAAAGGCGGGCUAAACCCGCGUACAUGCCACCGGGGCAUCCCGGAGGCAGGAAAGGCUUCGGCCGGACAGGGAUGGGCAUGCGGCGCAUUAGGCAGUAGGCGGGGUAACGGCCCACCUAACCGACGAUGCGUAGGGGUUCUGAGAGGAAGGUCCCCCACACUGGUACUGAGACACGGACCAGACUCCUACGGGAGGCAGCAGUGAGGAAUAUUGGUCAAUGGUCGGGAGACUGAACCAGCCAAGCCGCGUGAGGGAUGAAGGUACAGAGUAUCGUAAACCUCUUUUGUCAGGGAACAAAGGCGGGGACGUGUCCCCGGAUGAGUGUACCUGAAGAAAAAGCAUCGGCUAACUCCGUGCCAGCAGCCGCGGUAAUACGGAGGAUGCGAGCGUUAUCCGGAUUUAUUGGGUUUAAAGGGUGCGCAGGCGGUCUGUUAAGUCAGCGGUCAAAGCCCGGGGCUCAACCCCGGCCCGCCGUUGAAACUGGCAGUCUCGAGUUGGAGAGAAGUAUGCGGAAUGCGCGGUGUAGCGGUGAAAUGCAUAGAUAUCGCGCAGAACUCCGAUUGCGAAGGCAGCAUGCCGGCUCCACACUGACGCUGAGGCACGAAAGCGUGGGUAUCGAACAGGAUUAGAUACCCUGGUAGUCCACGCAGUAAACGAUGAAUGCUGGCUGUCCGGGGGGACUGACCCCUGGGUGGCGAAGCGAAAGCGAUAAGCAUUCCACCUGGGGAGUACGCCGGCAACGGUGAAACUCAAAGGAAUUGACGGGGGCCCGCACAAGCGGAGGAACAUGUGGUUUAAUUCGAUGAUACGCGAGGAACCUUACCCGGGCUCAAACGGGGAGUGACUCAGGCAGAGACGCCUGUUUCCCACGGGACACUCCCCGAGGUGCUGCAUGGUUGUCGUCAGCUCGUGCCGUGAGGUGUCGGCUUAAGUGCCAUAACGAGCGCAACCCCCGCGUGCAGUUGCUAACAGUCAACGCUGAGGACUCUGCACGGACUGCCGGCGCAAGCCGCGAGGAAGGCGGGGAUGACGUCAAAUCAGCACGGCCCUUACGUCCGGGGCGACACACGUGUUACAAUGGGUGGUACAGCGGGAAGCCAGGCGGCGACGCCGAGCGGAACCCGAAAUCCACUCUCAGUUCGGAUCGGAGUCUGCAACCCGACUCCGUGAAGCUGGAUUCGCUAGUAAUCGCGCAUCAGCCAUGGCGCGGUGAAUACGUUCCCGGGUCUUGUACACACCGCCCGUCAAGCCAUGGGAGCCGAGGGCGCUUGAAGUGCGUCGCCGCGAGGCGCGCCCUAGAGCGAAAUCGGUGACUGGGGCUAAGUCGUAACAAGGUA
rnacentral:rRNA from 1 species